GACGAACGCUGGCGGCGUGCUUAACACAUGCAAGUCGAACGGAAAGGCCCUGCUUUUGUUGGGUGCUCGAGUGGCGAACGGGUGAGUAACACGUGAGUAACCUGCCCUUUACUUUGGGAUAACGUCAGGAAACUGGUGCUAAUACCGGAUAGUAGCUCCUGCUGCAUGGGGGGGUGUGGAAAGUUGCUGCGCUUGGGGAUGGACGCGCGGCUGAUCAGCUUGUUGGUGGGGUAGUGGCUUACCAAGGCUUUGACGGGUAGCCGGCCGGGGCGGGUGACCGGCCACAUUGGGCCUGGGCUACGGCGCAGAGUCGUAGGGGGGGAAGCAGUGGGGAAUAUUGAACACUGGGGCGACGCCUGAUGGAGCAACGCCGAGUGCUGGAUGAUGGCAUUCGGGUUGUAACACGGUUUAGCCUGUGCAGAAGCGUGAGUGACGGUAAUGGGUAAAGAAGCACCGGCUAACUACGUG
rnacentral:rRNA from 1 species